GGGCGAAGCCGAGGAAGAGCGUUUUGGGGACGGGGGCUGGUGAGGCUCACGUUGGAGGGCUUCGCGUCUGCUUCGGAGACCGUAAGGAUAUUGAUGACCAUGAGAUCCCUGCUCAGAACCCCCUUCCUGUGUGGCCUGCUCUGGGCCUUUUGUGCCCCAGGCGCCAGGGCUGAGGAGCCUGCAGCCAGCUUCUCCCAACCCGGCAGCAUGGGCCUGGAUAAGAACACAGUGCACGACCAAGAGUACGUAUUCAGCCCGGGCUGUGGUCCAGUGGCCUCCCCAUCAUCUGCAGCUGAGCCAGCGGCAAGGGCAUGCUCAGUCCUCCUUUCCUUCUUCCUGUUUCUAUGGCUCCUUGACAUUCUUCAAGGAUGAUUCUUAUUCCUUAUUGCCACCUAUAAGUCAGGUAUUCUUUUUUCAUCAUUGUAUCACAGGUGGAAGAUCUUUAGGCCCAAAUGGGGCACAUUACUUGUCUGAAUCCGGUCUCUCCUUUUUUUCACCACAGACAGACACACACACAUACAAAUAGACACACAGGUACACAUACACAGUCAUAGUAGCAGAAUCCAGAAAAUAGCUAAGGUUUCUUGACUAUAACAAGACCUUUUUUAAAUCAACACAUUCAAACAUUGAAUCAUUUGUUGCAGCUUUUGUCUUGGGCCAGUUAGCCUCACGCAUUAUACUCGGUUAUCCUUUGUUUUUAAGGCUGGGUGCAGUGGCUCACACCUGUAAUCCCAGUGCUUUGGGAGGCUGAGGCAGGUGGAUUACUUGAGCCCAGGAAUUCGAGACCAGCCUAGGCAAUAUAGGGAAAACCUGUCUCUACU
rnacentral:lncRNA from 1 species